rnacentral:rRNA from 1 species
UACGAAGGGGACUAGCGUUGUUCGGAAUUACUGGGCGUAAAGCGCACGUAGGCGGAUUUGUAAGUCAGGGGUGAAAUCCCGGGGCUCAACCUCGGAACUGCCUUUGAUACGGCAAAUCUCGAGUCCGAUAGAGGUGGGUGGAAUUCCUAGUGUAGAGGUGAAAUUCGUAGAUAUUGGGAAGAACACCAGUGGCGAAGGCGGCUCACUGGUCCGAUACUGACGCUGAGGUGCGAAAGCGUGGGGAGCAAACAGG